rnacentral:rRNA from 1 species
AUUGAACGCUGGCGGCAGGCCUAACACAUGCAAGUCGAACGGUAACAGGAAGAAGCUUGCUUCUUUGCUGACGAGUGGCGGUCGGGUGAGUAAUGUCUGGGAAACUGCCUGAUGGAGGGGGAUAACUACUGGAAACGGUAGCUAAUACCGCAUAACGUCGCAAGACCAAAGAGGGGGACCUUCGGGCCUCUUGCCAUCGGAUGUGCCCAGAUGGGAUUAGCUAGUAGGUGGGGUAACGGCUCACCUAGGCGACGAUCCCUAGCUGGUCUGAGAGGAUGACCAGCCACACUGGAACUGAGACACGGUCCAGACUCCUACGGGAGGCAGCAGUGGGGAAUAUUGCACAAUGGGCGCAAGCCUGAUGCAGCCAUGCCGCGUGUGUGAAGAAGGCCUUCGGGUUGUAAAGUACUUUCAGCGGGGAGGAAGGGAGUAAAGUUAAUACCUUUGCUCAUUGACGUUACCCGCAGAAGAAGCACCGGCUAACUCCGUG